rnacentral:rRNA from 1 species
AUUGAACGCUGGCGGCAGGCCUAACACAUGCAAGUCGAGCGGUAGAGAGAAGCUUGCUUCUCUUGAGAGCGGCGGACGGGUGAGUAAUGCCUAGGAAUCUGCCUGGUAGUGGGGGAUAACGUUCGGAAACGGACGCUAAUACCGCAUACGUCCUACGGGAGAAAGCAGGGGACCUUCGGGCCUUGCGCUAUCAGAUGAGCCUAGGUCGGAUUAGCUAGUUGGUGAGGUAAUGGCUCACCAAGGCGACGAUCCGUAACUGGUCUGAGAGGAUGAUCAGUCACACUGGAACUGAGACACGGUCCAGACUCCUACGGGAGGCAGCAGUGGGGAAUAUUGGACAAUGGGCGAAAGCCUGAUCCAGCCAUGCCGCGUGUGUGAAGAAGGUCUUCGGAUUGUAAAGCACUUUAAGUUGGGAGGAAGGGUUGUAGAUUAAUACUCUGCAAUUUUGACGUUACCGACAGAAUAAGCACCGGCUAACUCUGUGCCAGCAGCCGCGGUAAUACAGAGGGUGCAAGCGUUAAUCGGAAUUGCUGGGCGUAAAGCGCGCGUAGGUGGUUUGUUAAGUUGGAUGUGAAAUCCCCGGGCUCAACCUGGGAACUGCAUUCAAAACUGACUGACUAGAGUAUGGUAGAGGGUGGUGGAAUUUCCUGUGUAGCGGUGAAAUGCGUAGAUAUAGGAAGGAACACCAGUGGCGAAGGCGACCACCUGGACUAAUACUGACACUGAGGUGCGAAAGCGUGGGGAGCAAACAGG